AAAUUGGUAUCAUGAAUUCUGUUGAUAUCAAAGACAAAAGUUCAAGUUAUAUAAAAUAAAAUUCUUCAAUUGGCUCAAGAAAUUUGUUGGCUUUAGAAGGGUGCACUAGUUGGUUCAUACAAGGGGAGUUGCCGUUUAUACAAUACAUCUGGUACUAGUUUAGAGAGCUCUCUGUGCGUGCAUGGUUGGUUUAGUCAAGUUUUUUAUGCACUAACUAUUAAUAAAUUCUUUAUCUAUUCAUACUUUCAGAGAAUAAGUUGCAACAAAAAAGCCAAAUCAAACUGUAGAACAAGAAGAAGAAAUCUCAUCACAAGAAAAUCUCUGGUUUCCAGUUUGCUCCAGGUAGUUCAUCAGAAGUUCUCAUCACAUCUGCAGAUUCACGAAUUCGGGUUGUUGACGGUAUUGAUCUGGUUCACAAGUUUAAAGGAGAAUUGGUCGGAAUGUUUGCGAUACAAGUUGGCAUCAAAUCUAGCGCUUUCAAAAGAAAAUGAACAAUGUUCCAAAAUUAUAGAAAAUGCUAGAAAAAUUCCACUACAUGAUUAUUUUCGAUCACUUAAAUGACAGUGAUUUGUAUAAAUUGAUGACUAAAUUUUCUGGAAAAUGCUGCAAUUUAGUGAAUUUUCUUUUUUGCAAAAGGGAGAUUGAAUUUUUAUCAUUCAUGAUCGCAAACGUAUGUGUUGUGUGCAUACAUGCAAUGUAGUUGAUAGUUACAUUUGUGAAGAAUUGGAAAAUUAAAUUUGUUGUGGUGCUUUAUGUGACACCAUUCAAAGCA